rnacentral:lncRNA from 1 species
AAAUUGACAUGUUCCUAUUAUUGGUGAUGUCUUUCUUAUUCAGGUCGUAACACUUGAGAAUUGAAUCACAAGUUGAAUUGAAGUUUGUUGUUAAGUUGGGUUGAUUGUUUUCAAAUUAGCCAACAUUAAUUGGUGUUUGUGUCUUAGUGAAAGGCUUCAUAGACUGCUUGUGUUUAUUAUGAACAAAAGAGAAUAGGAAUUUGGGCUAAAAUCCUGUUAAGAGUUCUCCAUAGAUUGUGCACCAUGGGGUAGAAAAUCGCCGUAGAUAAUAGUGUUGUCGGAAUCCGACUCAGAACCGGCUGUAUGAUUUGGGAAAAAUAAGUAGACACACACAAUUGUUCCAAUUAAUAUGUGUUUAUCUGUUCGCUGAGUUAUGCCGUAAACGAAAUGACAUGUUCUUAUUACUGGUUGUUGUCUAUCUUAUCUAUGGUGUAACAUUUGGGAGUUGAAUCGUUAGCGAGAGGAAUUGUAGUUUUUAUUAAAUUAGGUCACAUGAUUUGUUUUCAAGUCAGCCAAGAUUGAUCUUUGUUACCAAUGAGGGAAUGACUUCAUAGAUUGCAUUUGGCGAUUAGGAAGAGAAUGGAAUUUUGACUAAAUCUCGGUAGGACUUCUUUAUAGAUUGGGUUUAUGCACAUUCCAUAAAAAAACCAGGACCCUCGCUUCGAUAGAUCACAACAAGAAAUAUAACUUCAAGGCACUGUCGAUUAGGAAGAUAAUGGAAUCAGCAGUUUGUAGAACAUGUUGCCGAGCACUGACAUCAGUGUUAGAAUCCGUACCCGAUUCGGGUUUCGGAUAUGGCGAAAAAUCUUUGUGGAAACAAAUGCUAUCGGAAUACGACUCAGAGUCGGAUGUAUGAUUCGGAAAAGUCAAGUAGGCGCACACACCGGUUGUAAUUAAUGUUUUUUAAUCUACCUAUAUAUUUUUGUCACAAACUAAAUGUUCCCAUUAUUGUUGAUGUCUAUCUUACUUACGCCGUAAUACUUGGAUUGAAUCGUCAGCGAGAGGAAUUGUAGUUUUUUGUGAACUUUGGGUUGGUUCGUUUCAAAUUAGCUAACAUUAUUGGUUGAUUCCAUCCGAGUUUAUGGCUUCAUAGAUUUCUUCUGGUCAUUACGAAUUGAAAAGAAUAGAAUUUGGGUUAAGAUCCUAUUAAGGUUUCUGCGUAGAUUGUGCACCAUGGUGUAAAAUUUGAUGCGGAAAAUAAUGUUGCCGAAUAUGUCGGAAUCCGACUCAAAAUCGGACAUAUUAUUUUGAAAAAGCAAGUAGGCACUCACAAUUAUUAUUUUAAUUAAUGCAUUUUUUUACUUGCGGGAUUCUGUCAUAAACAAAAUGUUAUGUUCAUAUUAUCGGCGUCGUCUAUCUUACUUACGGUCUAACUUUUGGGAGUUGAAUUGGUUAGCGAGUGAAAAUUUAGCUCUUUGUUAAAUAAGGCCACACAGUUUAUUUAUAAGAUAGCCAAGAUUUGUAGAUUGCAGACGGGAAUUAAGAACAUAAGAGAAUGGAAGUAGAGCUUAAAUUUCCUUACGAUUUCAUUGUAGAUUGUGCAUCAUGCAUGGUGUAGAACGUCAUCGUGGAAGUUAACAUUGUCACAAUCCGACUCGGACUCGGAUGUGCAUAUGAUUAGGAAAAAACAAAUAGCUAGAAUUUGGUUACAAUUAAUGUGUGCCUAUGUUCUUAUUUCUUUCUAUCUAAACAAAAGGACAUGUUUAUGUUAUUGGUGUUGUCUAUCUUUUUUAUGGUGUAACAUUUGGGAGUUGACUUGGUUAGUGAGCGAUUUUUUUAAUGUUUAGUCGAUGCACUUUGUUUUCUAGUUUAACCAAUAUUCAUUGUUGUUUCCAUUGAUGCCUUCAUAAGUUGGUGUGGCAAUUUGGAAAAUAUAAACAAGAGGGAACUGAAUGUGGGUUAAAAGUUUGUUAACAAGUUUUCUAGUUUGUGCACCAUGGUGUUGAAACGUGCAACAUUACACUAGGUAGAUUGUAUGAUCACAAUGGCCACAUGGAUUUCAUAGUUAACCUAGUCAAAUUUUCAUCAGUUUAUUCAUACUCCACGUUGCCAAAUUAGUGAAGAGCGAAAUUGUACAUAGUUCAAAUUGGAUAUUAGCUUUGCAUAUCGGACAUCCGAUAAUUGUCCGUUUGAUGAACAUCCUGUCAUAUAUAAUACACCAUGUUGUAUCGUGGUCAAUUAUAUAUAUACAUACCAUACCUACACUAUUGUUUUCACCUUAACCUGAUUUCAUUUUCUUUGUAUUUGUAUGUUUGCUUGCCCUACUAGAGGAUUUGAGUUUAAUACUACAGUUACCUCUAAUAAUUUUGUAUGUGAUUGUUUUGCAGCCAAACGUGCAUUAGACUCUUUAAAUUUUACCCCUGCCAACGGGAAGCAUAUCCGAGUUAUGUUCUCGAAUAGGGACCCAACGCUGCGAUGGAGUGGAAAGGCCAAUAUAUUCAUAAAAAAUCUUGUGCCAAAUAUUGAUGGCAAGAGCUUGAGUGAUAUGUUUGGUCGCUAUGACACUAUACUAUCAUGCAAAGUGGCCACUCACUUUAACGGUCAAUCAAAAGGGUACGGAUUUGUUCAGUUUUCAGAGGAGACAUCUGCCAAUGAUGCCAUCGACAGCUUGAAUGGCAAGUUGGUGAAUGGCAAACGAAUUUUUGUAGGUCUCUUCAUUCGUUGUCAGGAGAGGCAGCCAAAUAUCAGCGUGAGUAAUUAUACAAAUGUAUAUGUGAAGAACUUGCCAAAGGAAUUCACUCACAAUGACCUUCUGCAAGAGUUUGGUCCUUUUGGUACAAUUACUAGUGUUGUAAUCAUGAGAGAUAAUGAUGGAAUAUCCAAAUGCUUCGGAUUCGUUAACUAUGGGGAAUCAGAAUGUGCUGCAGAAGCUGUGAAAAGUCUUAAUGGUAAGAUGAUGAUACAAUUUUGUAUGUUGGAAGAGCUCAGAAAAAGUCAGAAAGAGAAGCAGAACUGAAAGAAAACUUAGAGCGUGCAAGAAAUGAGAAAUUCAAAAAGUUUGAAGGGCUCAAUCUAUACGUGAAGAAUCUAGAUGAUAGUAUUAAUGAUCUAAAUCUUAGAGGGUUAUUUGAAUUUUUUGGUGAGAUAGGAUCAUGCAAGGUACUUCUCUAUUUAUUUGCUAGCUAAUUCUGUUUCUUAGUAUCAUGGCUCACCUUCUUAACAUUUUUUUUAGGUUAUGGUUGAUUCACAAGGAAGGAGCAAGGGUUAUGGCUUUGUGUCAUUUACAACCAUUGAAGCUGUCCACAAGGCCGUAAGUAACACGGUUUAGUUGAAUGCAAACAUGCCCAAUGCAUCCACUUGACUAGUUUAGAUUAUUAAAUCAUCUUUAAUCAAUGUGGUAGAUUGACGGGAUGAACAGGAAGAUAGUCGGCAAAAAGCCAUUGUAUGUUGGUGUAGCUCAACGCAAAGAGGAAAGACGAGCGAUGCUAGUGGUAAGUCUAGAUUGUUAUUUCCCAAGUGAUCAUUUUGUACAUUAGGUGCCUUUUGCUGAUAAGUGAUAAGUAGAGACUUCUUUUAAUUAAUCUUAUAUGCUGAUAAGUGCUGUUUGAGUUUUGAUAUUGCUAUGUGUCCAUGCCUACUACAUGUCCAAUUAUUUACGUAUUAUUUGUUUCAUUUUUACACAUAACUGACUAACUAAAAGGAAACCUAUUCAGUUAUAAAUAACUUGUAUAUUGUCCCAUCCUAAGAAUAACAUAGACUGAGAAUCAAUGUGGAUGAGUGUUAACAAAAUGGUUAUUUUUUUACCGUCCAAAUAAAGUUAAGUAAAACAAGUUCUCUCUUGUCACCUGUGUGUCACUGAAUAUUUGAACAUUAGAUCUGUCACUGUUUCAAGAAUAUAUACAAGGGACGACACAUCACAAGCUUAAUGCUACUGACAUUGUUUCUAGGCACACUUUGCUCGUAUUCAGAACGCAGGAGUUCUAGCACCCGCAGUACCACAAAAUUUUGCUCCCCGUCAGUUCUACGUCGGUCCAGGAGUGCCUGGCAUGUUCCCACCACAGGUUGCUGCAGGCUUCGGGUAUCAGCAAUUCCCACAACAGCAUUUCACUCCUUGGGUUCCUAGCGGCAUGACGCCAUAUACGUAUAACAUGUCGAGGCCACUGCACCAUGCUUGGCGUGGUGUGCAUCCAGAAAUCAAUCUACAACCACAGUUAUUAUGGCACGAGACAUGCCAUUUUUUGAUUUAAUUUUUUAAUACUUAAUGCAUCAGUUGGUCUUGCAAAGUGUAUCCAGCCGUGCCCAUAUUCAGAUUAUGUCACAAGUAGUCAAUUCACCUGACUUUCUUGCUUUUACAAUGCAGAUGGUGUACCCAAAUGCCAACCAAGCCUUCACAUACAUGCCAAAUUCUAUGAAUGUGAAUGCCAACGCUGUGAUGGUUCCCCCGGGCUUCGUGCAAACUGAUAGUACUGUCUCUACUCCAUCUGUUCCAAGCAAGGACACCACCACCACUGCUAUAGUUUCUUCUGACCCGGAGAAACAACAUCUCGUAAGGACAACGGAAUUAUAUUAGGACGUGCUAUUUUCACAGUUACAAAUUUUACUUGGCAUGCAUGAUUAUAUAUUAGCCAUUUAUGUCAAUGAAGGGUGGAUUUUAAGUUUGGUCGAAUAUUUUGUUUACCUUGCAGAUUCAAGAUGAGAAAUUGUACCCACUGGCUGAACAGCUUGAGCCAGAAUUAGGAGGGAAGGUGACAGGGAUGCUGGGUGAAGCAAUGGAAGCUCUGCAAGGAAGGAAAGUGGAAGAGGCCAGCGGUACUGUUGACCUCGUGUCCGUACCAUCAUCCUCGACCUCGAGUGUUACCAGAGAUGCUAUUGACCCCGCUUCCACAGCAUCGUCCUCGAGUGCUUCCGUUGACGGUGCUAACCUUGCUCCGGCACCUUCAUCCUCGAGUGCUUGAAUGCUGGUUCCUAAUAUCUCUAUCUCGACUUGAAAUUUAGAUGGUUGGAUAAUGUUUAAGAAGAUUCCUGAUUUGAUGUUGCUUCAUGAUAUUUUCGGUCAGAGUUUUAUUCUUGUUUGUUUGUUCUUAAGUUAAAGUGCAUCUGCAUUUCCCCCAGUAUUUAGGAUAACUUCAAAUAAAAAAUUAGACAGUGUCUUCUUCCUUUGGCAGGGAUCCUAGUUUACGUCCAAUAUAAGGACAAGAUAACAGUUUAACGGUAUAUGUUAAACAAUUCAUGAUGGCCUCGCCAAAAAAAACGUGCAAAUAGCUUCAGCCUCUAAAUCAGCUAAAUUGAUGCUAAACAGGGGCUAAAUGGCGCUAAAACUGCCAAGUAGUAUAUGGAGAUGUCAUUUACAUGGACAAGUAGCAUUUGCUUUUCUCUUCUACAACUAUAUCUCCUAAUCUUUUGUAAGUUUAUAUAUUACUAAUGUUCAACUCAUCUACCCGGGGAAAAGGCCCUGUCCUCAAUGACACAAUGAAAAUCCUAGCCCCCUCGCCGCCGUACAACACCCCAGGGUGUAUGGUGUACCACAAGCUUGUGCCAAAUGGUCAAUGUGCCAGUGGGGUUGCCUCAGGUGAAGGCGGUGGGGGCGUGAACAUGUGCAGUGGGAUGCUAGGCAGGUGAGCGACCACAGGAAAGUUUAGAGUACUGUGAACAUCUCACAGAUUGCUAGAUGUUUCAUGUGAUGUAGUAGUACAUAUAUACAUUCAAACUUGUCGAUAGAUGCAUGGAAGAAACUAGUUAAGAAUUCUGAGGCAUACAAUGUGGAAUCGGUAAGCUUCAGUUCUACAACUUCAAAUGACAAAAAUAAUGACCCUUAAUUUUUUUGGAAAUACUAAAGCUGUGGAAUGUAUAUAUGCUACUCAUGAUGAAACCUUUUCUAUACAGUAAAUAUCGAAGAUUAAAGUGUUUUUUCAUCACUUCAUUGCACGCUCAAUGAAGUCGUUGCAGUAAAUCUUGAGCUCCUUGCAGUGGUGUAGCAAUGCCAGCUCCAGAGUGCUCAUCGCGUUGUCUUUCAACAGGAGAUGAGCGAGCAAAUUCUUGCACAUGGCCUUCAUCCUCUCCAGGCGGAACCAGCAUGCCACCGCCAGCAUUUCCCUGGCUACCACCGUUUCAUUCACAGGAACCAGCUCGUCGGUAUAGACAAAGUGGAGUACGGCCCUGAGCACGACGGCCUUCAUAUCGCCGAUCCGUACGACACUGUCGGUUGUCGACGCCACUAAUGUUUCGUAUAGAAGCAGCGACCGCAUGGCGAUGAUGAGCCAGUGCGCAUGAAUCUCGCUCUCCUGGACCAGGAACGCCACGUCUGACCAUUGCUUGCUCACCAUCAGCUACUCGAGGUGCCUGCAAUGUUGGACGGCAACACGACGAUCAUAGGUUUGGCGAUGGUGGUGCUAGUACUAGUAGUGCACGCCUUCGUGUGGACUUCAAGGUCGCAACGUAUGGUAAAGGAACCAUUGUGGCCUAUGUAUCGGGACUUUGCAGAAUUCACCAUGAUGAACUUUUGAAACCCCCAGGUUUCACGUACCCUAGUAAAAAUAUCUUCAACAAAGCACAAUCGACGGUGAUUUGCCACUAGGGUCACCGGUCCGGAACGUCUUGGACAACUUGACCCAGUUCCAGGAUCAGACCAUAAACGGAGGUAGACGGAUAUGUGUUCCCCACCCUCCUCUGCCGAGUACCCAGACGGGUACACAUUGACUGUCCAAUCGUAACCGCCUAUGUUUUAUAUGACUGAAGUGAUUACUUGGCCAACACCAUGGCUCCUUUGCACUGAGCUAAAGUUGUGGAUAUUAAACUCGUGCAUGCCGUGGUGUUGUUGGUCGAUGGAUACCGGAGGAGGAGGAAGGAGAGCUAGUGUGUCGGGCCAUGUUGUGUGUGGCAACUCUCUCAUUGACCUCAAUUAUAAAAGAGCUGCAUGUUUCCUUGAGCUCCUCAUACUCCUUGGUCGCCUUCACCGCGUCGUACAUAUCAGGGCUAGAUGUUAUGUACUUGAUGCAGGAAUCCUCGAGCUGACAGCACCUUUGGCGGCCCCGCACUAGCAGCAAAGUCGUCAUGACAGUUGCCAGAUCGAUGCUCUCGCAUAGUAUGUUCUCGCACAUGAGCUCGACGCUUCAACGAAAAAAUAGCGUGCUAUAACGACGCUAUAGCGCUGUUAUAGCGUAUUCAGAAGGAAACACUAUAUUUUAGCAAAUUCAGCCGCUACGACGUUAUUCACGUAAUUAGCGCGCUAUAGGGUGUUAUAACGUUGUUGCGUGUAGCGUUAUAGCGUCCAAAUGAUGAAAAAUAUUAGAAAAAUAGGGAAGCACAGGUUUAUUUUGUGGUUAUUGCACGAUAGAUGUAGGCUAGGUGUUCAGUGUUCAGAGUUGAUAUAUGUUAAAUAGAUUGACUACAGUUUGACAUUCAGUUUAAAAUGUGUGCUUCUUAUCUGGCUAGAUUAUGUCUCUCUAUAUUGGUGUCUUAAGGUACUGAAAUACUUUAUUUGUGGAUAUAUUUGGCAUUUUUUGCAAACGCUAUUUUUAAAUAUAGCAUGCUAUUAGCGCGCUAUAACUUGUGUAACAUUUUGAUAAGGGGCUCGCUAUAUUUUGUAGCGUGCUAUUUUUUUCGUUGGAUCAUACCGAUUAGCGGCCACAAGCAGCUUGUGUACCAUGACUUCACGGCCCCUCGCCAUGAAUUCCUUUUUGAAAUUAUUAUGACUGCUUCCUGAUUCCUCGCCGUUGUUUGGCUUGACGGGAAGCUCGUCAGUAUAGAUGAAUUGGAGCAUGACCCUGAAUGUGGAGGCACGCAUGUCCUCGAUCCUGACACGUUGAGCGGUGCUCUCCCUCAUGUGACCAAAGAGCUCCGCGGCGAAGACCGGCAACCGCAUAGCAAGCACAAGCCUGUGGGCGCGGAACACGGUUUCCUCGACGAGGAAGGUCACUUUUGAUGAGUGGGGGAUCUUUGCCGGACGUAGUAGAAGCUGCUGCAAAUCCCGGGGGGAUGGUGGGCGCCGGCACUAUGGGGAUCAAGUACUUUGUUGGGGGAAUGGACCUCGGGCAGGCAACGGAAUCCGGAUCCUUUACAAAAACAUCGAGGCCACCAACGCUCCUCAAUUCGGCUGGCCCUGGCUGGCUUCCUAGCGUAACCCAGCCAGGUGUCGCAACCCGGUCUGCCGGCUGGCGCGUGCCAGCUGGUCCCAAGAAGCCAACCUCCAGCGACAAGUAAACAUGGCUACAACACUCCCUCCUUUGCGCCGGCCCCGACGGCCGCGGCACUCCUGCCGACCAAGCCACCGUCUGGAGGCGCAACCCUGUAGCGAGGCGGCGCUGCCGCCCCAUGACGCCCGGCACGGCAUUGCCAACAGUACCCAACAGCCAGCCGUACCCGGGCCGGAGGUCCCGGUACGACCCGCACCGGAUGGACCCAGCGAGACCCGCGCCGGCGGGCCCGACAGACUCGACGGCCCCCACAGCCGGCUCCUAGACACUGACUCCAGGGCCCUGCACCCAUGUAACAUUACCACUGUAUCCGGGAGGGGGGCAGCCUAUAAGACCCCCCGGUGCUCCUCCAUGCAGAAGGUCGAUCGUUCAUCAGUAGAACACACUCACACGGAGAAGGAGCAGCCUAUGCACUAGCCUGCAUUCCUUCCUCCCAAAAACAGCAGCAGGAGCAAGCUUGUAUCCACCUCAUAUAAACCACACUCGGCAGGACUAAGGGUGUUGUCUCUCCAGAGAGCCCCAAAUCUGGGUACGUCUUGUGUCCCACACUUGCGCGUGCCAACCUCGCCUCUGGAGCCCACCGGUGUCCUUGUCAUGUCCCCCCUUUUAGCCAUCCCAUGGCAUCCGCCGUGAGACCACCACAACAGUUGGCGCCCACCGUGGGGCAGCUCGAGGCAUCGGCCAGAGUCACGUUCCAGACGGGGCCCUUCACCGACUGCGGCGUGCACGGUUUGGUCCCCGCGCCCAGCUCGGUGCCGGCCAGCCCCGCCGGCUCGUCCGUCGUCCCCUUUGGCGCACCACACAUCUCCGACGCGCUCGCCUCCGACGAGUACCCCAGCGACGAGCUCGACGUCACCGACUCCCCCGUCCCCGUUGGCUGCGACAUCUCCGACGACGUGGCGGAUCUCUGCACCCACGUAGAGGUGCUCGUCACCGGCUUCGCCUGUACUUCAUCCAGCGCCGCGGCCAGGGCCGCAGCCGACUGGGCUAAUACGUGACCCGCUGCAGAACCUCAGCGUCCUUAUCACCACCGCCGCCAACACCACUGAGGCCAGGGUUUGGCUCGAGGAGGAGCGCGUGCGCCUGCUGGACGAGGCCACGGCGCUCGCUGCUACACAGCGCCGGCUGGAGUACAUCCAGCGGGAGCACGACGCCGCGUACGGCUUCACGCCGGCAACGGUCGAGCCUAGCCGGGUUGCUGGAUGACACCCCAUCAAGGUCAGUGACCUUGCUUGAGGAUCAAAAUUCACUUCACCAUUCUAGCUAGGUAUUAUAGUUUCAUGCUUGCAUCUUCCAAUGUGCACUGCGGACUGCUAUCUAAUUCUGGACAUGCAAACCAGUUGUUUCUAGUUUGUUUCUGUUUGGAUGUAUGGUUAAGUCCAUAUGUGUUAUUUCUGAAAGAAUGCUUGCGUCCUUUUUAUUUAUCUCAAUAGUUCGUUCAUGUUGCUGUGUGUGUGGAUGAAUCCUUUCCGGUUUCAUUGUCAUAUGUUGUGUAAUACUGUAGGAAUAAGUCUCUCAUGUUUCCAUCUGUCCUAAUAUUCCUCUUUAUUGUAUAUAUAAUCCUUAAUUUCAUCUUUACUUACAGGUUCUGAAACUGACUGUGCAUCCGUGAACAUGUGUGUGUUUGUUGGAUUGCAUUCUCAUCCUAGUAGNNNNNNNNNNNNNNNNNNNNNNNNNNNNNNNNNNNNNNNNNNNNNNNNNNNNNNNNNNNNNNNNNNNNNNNNNNNNNNNNNNNNNNNNNNNNNNNNNNNNNNNNNNNNNNNNNNNNNNNNNNNNNNNNNNNNNNNNNNNNNNNNNNNNNNNNNNNNNNNNNNNNNNNNNNNNNNNNNNNNNNNNNNNNNNNNNNNNNNNNNNNNNNNNNNNNNNNNNNNNNNNNNNNNNNNNNNNNNNNNNAAGCAGCGAGUACAGAAUUACAGCGGCACGGUGCAGCAUGCAGAGAGGAAGGAACGCCACGAGAAGACGUCCUCCUUGUCACCCAUGUCGAGACGGUGUGACCAAAGGUCUAGGUCAGAGAUCAAGUUUCUAAUUGUUAUUAAAGAACGUUGAUCGAUUCUCCUAAACAUCAUGUCAUUACGCGCUGCCCAAAUCUUCCAGAGUAGAGCGAGGAGGACGAAGGAUCAAGCAUUCUUGGGUAGGUGUUGAGGCAGCGGGGUGUCCCAAAGCUCAUUGAGAUCGUCAGACGAGGGCAGGAAGCCUACUCGUUGCCAAAUCCUAUUGGCAAGAGGACAUGUGAUGAAGAUGUGAGUGGAGUCUUCAGGUGAUGUAGCACAGCGAGGGCAUAGGUUGGAGGAGAUUAUAUGCUUCUGGGCUAGGUUCACUCCAGUGUUGAGGCGAUCUUUGAAAAGAAGCCAAGCAAAAAUCUUGAUCUUGCGAGGAGCCUUGGUGCCCCAGAUGAGGGGGGCAAUGAGAUCCGUGUCUGGCUUGGUCAUGAAUGUGCCGUAUGCUUGCUUGGUGGAGAAGUCAUGCCCCUGGAGUAGGAAUCGUUGAUCUUCCUCAGUCGACGGCGUGAAGUCCUGCAAAACAGCCAAAAGCGAAGCAAGCUCUCGUUCUGCUGUUAGAGAGAGACGAUUACGGAGGUUGGCUUCGAUACCGAAGCGCAAAAUGUUAGCUACUUUAACUAGUUGUAGGAUGGAGUGCGAGAAGAGGUCCGGGAAGGUGGUAGCUAGGGGUUUUGGUGUGAGCCAUGUAUCCAUCCAGAAGUAUGUGUGUGUGCCACUGUUGGUGAGUACAAAGGUGAUUGGCUGGAGGGUUGGAUUCUGUUGGGUUAUCGUGCGGCACAAGAAGGAGGUUUGGGGGGUCGAAGAGACGAAGGCGUUUGGGUGUUGGAGAUCUAGCCAGUCUAGCCAAGGUGACUGAACGGAGGAGAGUGCUUUGACGGCAAACUUCAUUAGGAGGCAGUUGUUUUGAACGUGUAGGUUUUUGAGCCCUAAACCACCGAAUUUUUUUGGCGAGCAAACGUUUUUCCACGCAAUCAGACACUGAGCACCCGAGCAUGCAUCUUCACCAGCCCAGAAAAAUGACCUCCUUAGAGAGUCGAUGACUUUGAGGGUCUUUUUUGGGAUACGGAAUACAUACAUGAAGUAUGUAAGGAGGGAGUCGAGGACCGCGGAUAUGAGGAUGAGUCGAUCGCCUUUGUCUAAAAGUUUUGCGCGCCAACCAUUUAGUAAUUUCUGAGAUCGGGCAAUCAAGGGAGCGAACGCAUUGCAGGGGGGCUUGGUGGGGGCAAGGGGGAGUCCUAGGUAAGUUUGAGGGAAGGGUGCGCGCGAGCAUCCCAUGGCGAGAGCAGCAGCAUCAGCUAUGUUUUCAUCUGUGUGUAGGGUGGCCAUGGUAGUUUUGGAGAAGUUGAUGGUGAGGCUGGUAGCUUGCGCAAAGUUAUUUAGGAUUUUUUUUUAGGGCUGUGGCAGCAAGGGGGGAAGCGGCUGCGAUAAUAAGUGUAUCAUCGGCGUAUUGGAGAGUUUGAUCUGCUGUGUCGAUGAAAAUCCACAGGAGGCUGCAAAAUGGUCGGGAGUUACCAAAGUUUUGUCUCCCUUAAUUAACUAAUCGCUGACUCAGUUUCAAUUGUUGACCCGCCCGCUGAGUUCAGCAUGAAGUUUUGGUUUGACGUUUUCAUUGCGGUGCUUGCAGAAUGAUGUCGUGACAGUACUGCACAAUUAAUUAAUAACGGCGAAAAACAUCACAGUGCUUUUCGUCGUGCCCACACGCUGUGGAGACGCCGGCAUGCUAGAGCUAUGAUGGCGAAGUUACUGGAUGUAGGACCUAUGGCAUACUAUGACUGUUGACUUGUUUCAGUGAGAACUUCAGUGCUUGUGUCAGAACCUGUAAGAUUUUACCUUGCACCAAUUAAUCAAUCAGAGAACUCAUGAUUCUACAUGUCACAACCCUACUUUAGUGUUUACAGAUUACAAAGAGAUUCCCCAAUCCGUAAAAAGAAAAGGUGGAUGCCAAGCUGAAUAGCCGUGAGAUGUCUGGAGCUGGGAUUCUGAAAAGUAUGUGUAAGUUCUUCUGGCUUUCUCUCAAAUACUAACUUCUUCGUAUGCGUGCGCUUAUGUAGAAACAACAAAUGCCUCAGAUAUCUACUAAAAGAUCAUGUGUUGAUGAUAUUUGAGCAAAGAAGUUUGUAAUUUCCCAAUCUACGUUACUACUAAUCCUAUUUUGAUGCAAUGCAUAUCUUCUAGAAUCCCUGUAGAUUUUAUGUUGAUCUAAAUAUUGUAUUAACUUAUCUGUACAGUUGAAUAUGGAGUUGCUAAGCGUCCUGUAGCGUAGAGACUAAUAUACCAUUUUGCCAAGAUAGUUACACUUCUUGUGGUAAAGUUUACUAUAUCAAUUUUGUACGAAAAUGUACCUUGUUUUACCAAAUUAUCUUGUUACUAACUUUUGCAUUGUUGCACUAAAAUUUGACUUGCUACUGUUGUACUAAGGCAUAUUUCCUUCUGAUUUGAGCGACCGAGCCUCUGCAGAUUCGAUGCGGCCGAGAAUCCCACUAGUGGUCAGCGCAAGGCCGGGCCACGAGCUCACCGGUGAGGGCUCCACCCUCGACUUCCUGUUCGACCGGUGGAGCAGAGCCCUCUCCUGCUAUCUCCUAUCACGCGUUCGAGGGAGUCGCACUAUUGCUGCUCGCGUCCUCAGGAGCAGUUACGCGCGUGUCCGUACUCCUAUGAAUUUUCUCUCUGUGGGCUGCAGCUUGGGUCAAUUGGGAAUGACAUUCGUCACUGAGCAUCCCAAUUUUAACUGCCAAUUUGGCUUUUCUUAACACGUGCAUGUCAAUUUAGCAGAAGCAAGUGUCUUGUGCAGUGCAGUUUGGUUAAUUUAACUUAUUACUGCAAUCGGUGGCUGCGAAGGCCUGUUCAUGUUCCUUCCCUGUAUUUAUUUAUAGAGUCAAUUACAUUGGUGGUGCCACAACUUGGCGUAAACGGUCACUUUAGUGCUAGAAGCUGUGGCAUAUAUUAAAAUGGUGCAAAAACUUGGCUCUGACGUGCAAAUACGGUGAUUAUUCCGUUUGUAUACGGAAUCUGUGCUGACUAGGCAACAAAACAUGUGUAUCUAACCACUAUGCAAUAUGUUUUAUACUUUCAACUAUGCUUAACAGAAUAUAUAUACCUUCGGUACGUAGGUGGAGUUUAAAUGGGCUGCAAAUAUUGCGGCCUAUUUGCGCCAACUAUUUUUUUUACGAUAUUUGUAAAACGUAAGUAAUAAAACUUAUAUUCAAGCAUUUAUGUGUGAUCAAUAUUAUACAAACAAACGAUGGUUUGUAAAUAUAUAUAUUAAUUUUUUUAAUUAAUAUGGAUAUUUCUGUGUUAUAACUUUUGAUAAUACAAACAUUUUAAUAAUAAUAUAAUUAACGUGAUGAAAUGUAAAUGUGUGUAUCUGUAUUAACUUAAAUAAUAUACAUGAUUGAAUAUUCAAAUCAAAAUUUUAUAUGUAGGAAUAUGAAUAUUUUUAAUUAUACAAACGUUGAACUAUACAAAUGUGCAUAUAAUUAUUAAAAUGCUUGUAUAAUUGAAACAAUAUUUUUAGUUAUAGUUUAUGAAAUAUUUGUAUUAUAUAAAAUUAUAAUAUAUUUUUACUUCAGCAUGUCAAUUAUAUAAUAGUCAGUCGAAAAUGUAUGGCAGAGUGGUUUGGACCGUAUAUGAUGUAGCAAGUGGUUUUGGGUCCGAAUCCUGGCGGCACCUACUUUUUUGUUAUUUAUUUUUAACAGGCAGGACCCGCUGGUCACUGAGGUGAAGAAUGCCACGCCUGAAUGGACCUUUUUUUUAAAUCAAAGUUCCGAGGUUUAUUUUGUGAAAAUCAGGCCACACGCUCUUUCUCCUUAGUCUAGCCACUGACAGCAGGGUGCGCAUGCCUAGUCAGCGCACAUUUCCUAUACAAACGGGAUAAGCAACCGUAUUUGCACGUCCGAGCCAAGUUUUUGCACCACUUCAAUGUACGCCACAACUUGUAGCACUAAAGUGACCGUUUGCGCCAAGUUGUAGCACCAACAAUGUAAUUGACUCUUAUUUAUACAAUACGCAGUUCAACAUUGUCAUAGAACAACCAAAUUGACUAUUAAAUUUAGUUUCAACAGAUAAAUCGGAAAUGACAGUAGACGCAGUUCGGUUCAAGUAGGGAGUAGUGAUGCCCUAUUUUAGGGCAGCUAUUGGAGACGUCAAUUUGUUGUGCCCAAAAAAUCCACUUUUUGGUGUCUAAAAUUUUACUCCAACCUCUUUUGAUGCUCUACAAUAGGGCACGAUUGGAGAUGAUGUAAGAAAGUUAUAAAAUGAAGCCUGUGGAAUAAAAGGAGAAUAUUUAAUUCAAAAGAAAUACUAAUGGAUUUGAGCAUCCAUUCGAGAUUUUUGUACACUACCAUAUCAAUGCAAAAUAAUACGAUAGGCUCGAGCAUCCCUCGGAGAUUUUAACACACCACCAUAUUAAUACAAAAUAAACACAAUAUGGAGUCGACAAUCCAUCUGCAAUUAUACUUUCACACAAUACCAUUUUUCAUUUCCAUAUAAUUUUAGAGUUUGUGAUCAUUUUGACAAUACAAAAUGCAUAUGAGGGCAAGUUCAAUGACUGGAACAAAGUUGUAUCCCCAAUAAUCGAAAGGAAUUUUGUACUCCCAUAUGUUUAAACUUGUUGUGUAAUCACAAUGAGUGUUUCUUUGGCACACCCCUCUAAAAGUUUACAUGAAUCUUAAAGUUACUUGAAAAGGUUGUCGCUAUAUUAGCACGUAAAUCAAUUGUAUUGAAUAGAUUGAUUUGGAUACUACAAAAGGCUAUAUUGCCCCUUUUGAUCGAAAAGGGUAACUUUUAAUCUCCAUCUUUAAUCAGCAUCGAAAUUCGUAAAGUUUUCUGCGGUAUACCAAAGCAAAGUUCAGUUGCAAUUAUUUUUGGUAAAAAAUACGCUAAUGUUUCAGGAAAACCAUAUAUAUGAAUAUUAUUUACCAAUAUAUAUGAAUAUUCUUUAUUAAAGUUUGCAUACCAUCCUUAUUUAAUCAAAAUUAUACUGACAUGUAAUUACCGAAAAAGGCUUCUCGCCCUGCUUUAUAAAUAAAGCCAUGACAGGAUACAAACACACCGAAAUGGAGGUCCACACAAAGGAAACAAGUUUAAGAACAAGAAAGGGAAAAUAUACCCGUUGGGGGCAACAACAAAACAAGCUUGCAAAAGAACAUAGCAGGGUCCCAAGGCGGGCAGAUGAUGAUAAGUAAUUCGGAGGCAACCUCCUUAUGUUUCCUUGUCAGAUCGUCGAGGGUCGUCUUGUCCCGCCGCUUAGAGAGAGGUUUCCAUAGCUGCAAAAAUUCACACAAUUUUUAAAUUGCAUCGGUGGCCCCAGAUGGGUAUAUAUGUUCAAUGACAACUUUAUUUCUAUCACACCACAUGGUCCAAGCCAAGGUUCCAAAAUUCACCCACAACCUUCUGUGGACCUACCUCUAGCAAUUUGCCAUGAGUUGAUGCCAAUCAGGGAAGUUGGUUGGGUGCUAACUAUUGCCCCAAACCUCCCUAAAGCAACUCCACAUGAACUGGGCCGACACACAGUAGAAGAAAAUAUGGUUCAGGUCCUCGUCUACCCCACACAGCGGGCACUGCCAUUCCCAGGGCCGUUCUACCUGAGCACUUGGUCACCCAAGGGAAAUCUACCCCUAGUAAGCUGCCACAAGAAUAUUUUGAUCCAAGGCAGCAGAUGCACCUUCCAAAGUUCAGUCAACUUGUCAGGCCCAAAUCCCGCCAUAAGGUGAUUGUAUAAUGACUUAGUUGAGAAGUUGUCCGAGGGCCCCAAUUUCCAUGAUGUGAUAUGCGGAGCCGCAGACAAGGUAACACUUGUCACACUGGAGGAGAGCGCUAACCAUUCGGUGGAUUCAAGGGGACCGAAAGAGCGACGGAAUGAGAGGUUCCUCCCCGCAUCCGCAACCGCCAAGGUCACCAAGGAAGAAGGCUGAUCCGGAAUGGCGAACAGCACCGGGAACUGAACAAGGAGUGGUCGACCAUCAAGCUAAACUAUUGAACCAAAAAUGGGUGUCCAUUCCUCUCUCGACCAUCACCAAAUCCCCAGACGGAGAACCGGUUUGAUAGACUGAAUGGCUUACCAAAAUUAUGAGCCUCUGGUCGUGGAGCAAAGAGCGAAAGACCGCUCCUUAAGAUAUUUGUCCCUUAUUAGAUCCAUUUUCUCAUCAGGCACAUGUUCAUGUGACGAGUAGAAGUGAUGACCAGACGCCCUAGUCCUUUGUCAUGCAAAUGUCCUGCCAUUUAUUCAUAUGGCAUUUCUGUUUAUCUGCCUCACCUUGCCAGAAGAAUUUGGAUUGAUAUAUGUCCAUGUCUGCAUGGGCUCCUUCAGGAAAAAGUUAAAGCCUCAUCGCAAACAUAGGAGGCUAGCCAAGGAAGAUCUAAUGAGAGCCGAUUUCCCAGCUUUAGAAGCCAAUCUUCCUUUCCACAAAUCUACCCAGUGUCUCACCCUCUCCAUCACUGGUCGCAGAUCUCUCAUACAGACCAUCGAGUCACUAACCGAUUGACCAAGGUACCAAAUAGGGAAUGACCCCGGGAAGCAAUUCAGGAGGUUGGCAUGAAGGAUCGCUCCUGCUUCGAAUAACAGAGUACCAUCACGUCACUUUUGGCGAAAUAAAUCGUCAAACCCGACAUCUCUUGGAAGCAAAUAAGGAGGAACUUCAAAUUUAUUAUAUCCAUUGGAGUUCGCUCCAAAUAAGGAUGGUGUCAUCCGCAUAUUGGAGGUGCGAGACUCCACCUACUGCAAUCAAGUGGGCCACCACCGCACAUAGAUGGCCAACACAUCUCACUUCAUACAUAAUGGCUGCUGAGCCAUCGACAACAAUAUUAAACAAGAAUGGAGAGAGUGGGUCAUCUUGCCUCACCCCCUCUUGAGUGCUUCAAAAAUGGGUCUGUCUCCAUAUUAAUGUUGAUGGCAGUGUGUCCACUACUGACAAGCUGCAUAAUGCGGGUAACCCAUCUAUGGUUGAACCCUUUGCACUCAGGGGAAUCUUUGUAGAAAUCCCAACUAAGUGUAUCACAAGCCUUAUUGAAAUCAAUCUUGAAAAAGACCGCCUUUUGACGUUUAGUCUUAACCUCGUGAAUGAUUUCAUGUAAUUCAAUCACCCUUAAUGAAGGCGACUGGUUUGGAUUGGUAAUUCGAGCUACUAUAGGUGCCGCCCCAAUGGCGUGCGCCUUGGCUAGGAUGCGGAAGAUAACAUUAAUAACCGUGAUCGGUCAGAAACUGGCGAAUGUCCGUCGUCCCAACUACUUUGGAGAUCAACGUAACCACUCCAUAGUUAAGGCAGGAUGUGUCGAGCACCCCUUUAUAGAAAUCCUGGAAUAUAACCAUCGCCACCCUUUAACGACCUUCCAGAAUUUCAUAAAAAAAUCGAACAGGAAGCCCAGCGGGCCCAGGGCAGAGUCAGGUUUCAUCGAGUUCAAUGGCGCUUCAACUUCAGCCACUGAAAAGGGCUCCAUGAGCCUCAGNNNNNNNNNNNNNNNNNNNNNNNNNNNNNNNNNNNNNNNNNNNNNNNNNNNNNNNNNNNNNNNNNNNNNNNNNNNNNNNNNNNNNNNNNNNNNNNNNNNNNNNNNNNNNNNNNNNNNNNNNNNNNNNNNNNNNNNNNNNNNNNNNNNNNNNNNNNNNNNNNNNNNNNNNNNNNNNNNNNNNNNNNNNNNNNNNNNNNNNNNNNNNNNNNNNNNNNNNNNNNNNNNNNNNNNNNNNNNNNNNNNNNNNNNNUCCUGAAGACUCACCCCAGCCCAUUGUUGACCGUUGAAAAGGUUUUCAUAUAAACCAUCAACAUGAGAGUGGAAACUUAUGUUCCCUUCAAAUGCAACACUCAUAGUAUCGUAGUGCUAAACUCUGAUCUUUGUCUAUUUUGCUCUUUGAAAUUUUUUGAACGCCAUCUUCAAAAUGCUGAGCUGACAACUUGACGCUCGAUCCAGUUUAGUAUCUCUCUCUCUCUCUUUUUGCUGGGAAUCUAGUUUAGUACCUCAAACAUUAAAUGGUAGUGAUAUAUGGCCCUGGAAACUGGUCGAACGAACUAAUUCCUAUAGUAGUAUAUGUGGACCCAAUCAAUCUCUAGUGUGCAGAUAUCUCCAUCAAAAAUACACUCGUCUUCUCGAGCACAAAAUUAAUGCCCAAUACUUAUCAUUAUACAAAGAAAGGAAGUAAUUAAUGCAUUAAUUAGUGAGAAGCGAGUCGAGAGCAUAUCCAUCCAAGAGCGUUCACCUAUAAAAGCACCCCAGCUCGAUGAAUCCAUCCUGUGCCUUCCGAGACUGUAUUCUGUUGCCUUGUGAGCCGGCACUCUUGCUCGAUCGAUCGACCGAUCCUGUGCCCGGCCACUGGUUGGCGAGCAUCUUACGCAAUGGCAGGUCGCCCGUUGCUGGCCCCAGCCGUCGCGCUUCAUUCUCAUGGACCGGCGUUGGGAUCGAGCGCCUCGCUAUACGUCGGCGACCUAGAUAAUAGCAUGGCGGAGGGGCAACUUUACGCCCUUUUCUGCCAAGUGGCGCCCGUGGCGUCCCUCCGAAUCUGCCGGGACGUCACUGGCAGAUCACUCGGGUACGGGUACGUCAACUACUACAGUCGGGAGGACGGUGAGUUUGUCUUCAUCUCUUUGCAUCUUCAUUUAAUCAGGCUUGAAUCGGGGAUAGAAAGAACUUACGAGGUUGCGUAGUUUUAGAUCUGUUUGGUUGUUAAGUCUGUGAUUUACUAGAUUUCCCAUACAAGAUGUGGCACACCAUCAGUUCAAGUUGUAUUUUGGCAUUUUCUUGUUCUGGUCAACCGAGGCGAGGGUCUUUUGAUGGAACGUGUGUAGAUAGUGUGUUGACCUGCAAUUUGUAGAACAACGUGUCACUAACAUAAGUAAUGUUGGAAUCCGUAAUCGUUUCGGGUUUGCGGAAUCUGAUGCUAUCGGAAUCGGACUCGGAAUAGGAUAAAUGAUUGGCAAAAGCAAAUGGACACACACAGUGGUUGCAAUUAAACGUGUGUUUACCUACAUACCAUAUAUUUCUGUCGCAAAUGAAAUUGACAUGUUCUAUUAUUGGUGAUGUCUUUCUUAUUCAGGUCGUAACACUUGAGAAUCGAAUCACAAGUUGAAUUGUAGUUUGUUGUUAAGUUGGGUUGGUUGUUUUCAAAUUAGCCAACAUUAAUUGGUGUUUGUCUCUGAGUGAAAGGCUUCAUAGACUGCUUGUGUUUAUUAUGAACAGAAGAUAAUAGGAAUUUGGGCUAAAAUCCUGUUAAGAGUUCUCCAUAGAUUGUGCACCAUGGGGUAGAAAAUCGCCGUAGAUAAUAGUGUUGUCGGAAUCCGACUCAGAAC